AUUGGAAAGAAAAAGAAAAAAAAAGUAGAAAAUAUGAGAGUUUCUCCUCCUCUGCUACCCAUGUGAUAAUGCUGACGAGAAAGAAGAAAAGAAGAGAGAAGUGAGUGAAGGCAUCAUCAUGGGGAAUGCGAUCAAGAUGGUCCGACGGGUCUUCGAGUAGUUCAAUACGAACGAUAAUAGAGGUCUAAAUCAGGAGGAUAUGGUGACAC
rnacentral:lncRNA from 1 species